GGUUGGCCCGAGUGCAGUGGUGUUUACAACUAAUUGAUGACAACCAGUUACAGAUUCCUUUGUUCCUUCUCCACUCCCACUUCUCCACUUGACCAGCCUCAA
ensembl:misc_RNA Y_RNA Y RNA